rnacentral:lncRNA from 7 species
ACGGCACCAGCAGCACCACCCAGUUAACCACCACGCCUCUCUCUCUCUCUAGAUUAAACAACCCGGAUCUGGAUCUGACGCGUGGUUUCCGUAGUUUGAUCCGACGUAGUCUGGGUGACUACGUUCUGGUGGUUUACCAUGAUCCAUCCCUAUAUCCGCUAGACUCUGCUAGUCUGCUUUAGGGGGUGUUUGGUUUCUAGGGACUAAUUUUUAGUCACUACAUUUUAUUCCACUUUAGUUACAAAAUUACCAAAUGUAGAAACUAAAACUCUAUUUUAGUUUCUAUAUUUGUCAAUUUAUAUACUAAAAUGAAACAAAAUGAAGGGACUAAAUAUUAGUCCCUAGAAACCAAACAUGACCUUAAUUUCCAACUGCAAUUUUCUUCUGUUCUGGUGGUGGUGUCAGGGAGGCAGGCGGCUUGGAUUUGCCUGCGGGGUUGUAGGGCGGUCAUGUUGAUGCAGCCCCUGUCCUUGGUCACGGGGGAAACCAUGCCAGGCUGGACUGAACUGCAGAGAGAUUAAUUGAUUUGACUGCCUUUGUUGCUAGGGAUGUAUACCACUACGAGCUCUGUAAGGUAGUAGAAAUUAUGGGGCAGCAACAGCAAGCAUGCUCACAUGAUGCUUGUGAAUUAUGGUCAGCAUGGUUUCUGUGACAGAUGCUAAUCAUGAAAACUGGGGUCGACCUGAUUGAUUCUCAGACGCCAUCAAUUAUAGGUUUGUGUUAAGUAAACUAGUUUUUUUUAACAAGGGGCAUAACCCCGCACCUUAUUACCAAGAUACGUAAGCCUAAUCCUGGAUCAAUUAGGCUACUGAUUUGGGCUUCGCCUUUUUUUUGAAUUCUUGUGGACCUACUCCAUGUCUGUAUAUGGAUGGGAAAUGUACAGGUUGUUUGCUGUGAACAACUUUGCCUUGUCUGAAAUGGUGUCUGUACUGUAAUACUUUCCUGAUGAACGAAUAUAACCAUGUGAGGUGUGGUGAUG